rnacentral:rRNA from 1 species
AUUGAACGCUGGCGGCAGGCCUAACACAUGCAAGUCGAGCGGAUGAAGGGAGCUUGCUCCUGGAUUCAGCGGCGGACGGGCGAGUAAUGCCUAGGAAUCUGCCUGGUAGUGGGGGAUAACGUCCGGAAACGGGCGCUAAUACCGCAUACGUCCUGAGGGAGAAAGUGGGGGAUCUUCGGACCUCACGCUAUCAGAUGAGCCUAGGUCGGAUUAGCUAGUUGGUGGGGUAAAGGCCUACCAAGGCGACGAUCCGUAACUGGUCUGAGAGGAUGAUCAGUCACACUGGAACUGAGACACGGUCCAGACUCCUACGGGAGGCAGCAGUGGGGAAUAUUGGACAAUGGGCGAAAGCCUGAUCCAGCCAUGCCGCGUGUGUGAAGAAGGUCUUCGGAUUGUAAAGCACUUUAAGUUGGGAGGAAGGGCGGUAAGUUAAUACCUUGCUGUUUUGACGUUACCAACAGAAUAAGCACCGGCUAACUUCGUG